AGUGAACGCUGGCGGUAGGCCUAACACAUGCAAGUCGAACGGCAGCACAGUAAGAGCUUGCUCUUACGGGUGGCGAGUGGCGGACGGGUGAGGAAUACAUCGGAAUCUACUUUUUCGUGGGGGAUAACGUAGGGAAACUUACGCUAAUACCGCAUACGACCUACGGGUGAAAGCAGGGGAUCUUCGGACCUUGCGCGAUUGAAUGAGCCGAUGUCGGAUUAGCUAGUUGGCGGGGUAAAGGCCCACCAAGGCGACGAUCCGUAGCUGGUCUGAGAGGAUGAUCAGACACACUGGAACUGAGACACGGUCGAGACUCCUACGGGAGGAAGCAGUGGGGAAUAUUGGACAAUGGGCGCAAGCCUGAUCCAGCCAUACCGCGUGAGUGAAGAAGGCCUUCGGGUUGUAAAGCCCUUUUGUUGGGAAAGAAAAGCAGCAGGUUAAUACCCCGCUGUUCUGACGGUACCCAAAGAAUAAGCACCGGCUAACUUCGUG
rnacentral:rRNA from 1 species